CUGUGUGGCCCAGAAAGCAAAGGCUGAGGGCAUCUCCACCAUGGCCUGGGCCCUGCUCUUCCUCACCCUCCUCGCUCACUAUACAGGGUCUUGGUCCCAAUUCACGAUGAACCAGCCACAUUCUGUGACAGGGAAUCCAGGGCAGAAGGUGACCAUCUCCUGCACCCGCAGCAGUGGUAAUAUUGGAAGCUACUAUGUGCAUUGGUACCAGCAGCACCCAGGCAGUACCCCCAGGAAUGUGAUCUAUGAGUAUGAUAAAAGACCCUCUGGAGUUCCUGAUCGAUUCACUGGCUCAAAAGACAGCUCCUCUAACACAGCCUCUCUGACCAUCUCAGGGCUGCAGCCUGAGGAUGAGGCUGACUACUACUGCCAGUCUUAUGAGAGCAGCUAUAUUCACACAGUGCUCCAGAUGCAGGGAGAAGUGAGACCAAAACUCCCUCAGAGUCUCCCUGUCCUAAGUCAACUCUCAUGCUGCCUCCAAAAAGUAGUCUUGUUCUCCCCUGUGUCAUUCUUGAGUUCUCAGUUCAGGAUAUCCAUGACUUCAUCUCAUCUAUGAAACAACCAUUUCUCCUUUCCCUAUCUUUUAUUUGUUGCACUGUUGAAUGAGCACCGAAGCCUCACAUAUGUGAAAAACUGCAGAGUGACUUCUGUGCAGGUCUAUCUGAUCUUUAUUUCCUUUGGAGACAGAGACCAAGAGAGAAGAGUCACUAUGACAUCAAUGUGCUUUGUUGAGUUAUCUUAGUGGCAUCCAUGGUUCCCAAAUGCUAUUGGGGCUUGCAUUGAUGUACUUAUACUUUGAAGGACAUGUACUCUACUGGGUGAAAGAUCAUAUUCUCUGGUCAUAUCUCCUUUUUUAUCUUAUUUCCCAAAAGCUUUUACAUCUACAUAAAUAGAGUUAAAACAA